GAUUGGUCUGGUGCUGGCGGGGAAAUGUUGGAGGAUGUAUUUAUUUUAUCGUAUUUCCAUUUUGACGAUAAAGUCUUGAUGAUUGAUAUACUUAAAUUUUUCUUUUGAAGUUAAGCAAUGUACUCACGGUUAUAUGUCUUCAUACAUAUAAUCGGUUCGCCUUUUGCUGCGAUACUCUGCAUAUUAUGUUCCCUUACGAAAAAUGAGCGAUACCCGUUUUGUUUUUGUUCGUGAAAUUCCUG
rnacentral:lncRNA from 1 species